GGCCUAACACAUGCAAGUCGAGCGGUAGCACAGGGAGCUUGCUCCUGGGUGACGAGCGGCGGACGGGUGAGUAAUGUCUGGGAAACUGCCUGAUGGAGGGGGAUAACUACUGGAAACGGUAGCUAAUACCGCAUAACGUCUUCGGACCAAAGAGGGGGACCUUCGGGCCUCUUGCCAUCAGAUGUGCCCAGAUGGGAUUAGCUAGUAGGUGAGGUAAUGGCUCACCUAGGCGACGAUCCCUAGCUGGUCUGAGAGGAUGACCAGCCACACUGGAACUGAGACACGGUCCAGACUCCUACGGGAGGCAGCAGUGGGGAAUAUUGCACAAUGGGCGCAAGCCUGAUGCAGCCAUGCCGCGUGUAUGAAGAAGGCCUUCGGGUUGUAAAGUACUUUCAGCGAGGAGGAAGGCAUUGUGGUUAAUAACCGCAGUGAUUGACGUUACUCGCAGA
rnacentral:rRNA from 1 species